CCCCUUGUGGCCAGCUGGGCCGGGCUGUAAGCAGCUCAGCCGGGGGUGUGGGAAACGGAGCUGCCCCCUUACAGCCGUCUCCAAACCGCUCCUGCAGGCAGGCAGUAUCAUUCCUGCGGGGAGGAGGAGGAGGGGCUGGAUGCUGGCCCUUGGCUCUCGACCCAGUCCCCUGCUUGCAGUUCACGUGGGAGCUCGCGCCUGUGCUCUCCCAGGAGCGGAGGCCGGAUCGGAGCCUGCUGGGCCAGUCAGGAUCUGGGUUUGAGUCCCUCGUUGUUCUCCUCUCCUGGGCGGCUGCUUCCCAGGCACAUUCUGCAGGGGGAGCCGGAGGAGCUGUCCCAAGGUUUAUUUGAAGACGUGUGUCUGAGCCCACAGUCGGCUGGUUCCUCCGACAGCCUGGCUGGGACCCUGCUGAGAAAGUCCGCCUUCUCGCUGGACCACUGCUACCUCUCCUACAGCGAGGCGAGUAAAACCGACUCCAGCCCCAGCUCGGACGUGACAGAGAUCGUGGGUGUGUGGAGCAGGCCUCAGCUCCUCCAGGAGAGUUCCAGCCCCGGGCCGGCUCGCUCCAUCUCUUCCGGCGACGAGGCCAGCGACAGCACCUGGAUCCCUUACAAGCGGGGCAAGCC